rnacentral:rRNA from 1 species
GAUGAACGCUGGCGGCGUGCCUAAUACAUGCCAGUCGAGCGAACAGACGAGGAGCUUGCUCCUCUGACGUUAGCGGCGGACGGGUGAGUAACACGUGGAUAACCUACCUAUAAGACUGGGAUAACUUCGGGAAACCGGAGCUAAUACCGGAUAAUAUAUUGAACCGCAUGGUUCAAUAGUGAAAGACGGUUUUGCUGUCACUUACAGAUGGAUCCGCGCCGCAUUAGCUAGUUGGUAAGGUAACGGCUUACCAAGGCAACGAUGCGUAGCCGACCUGAGAGGGUGAUCGGCCACACUGGAACUGAGACACGGUCCAGACUCCUACGGGAGGCAGCAGUAGGGAAUCUUCCGCAAUGGGCGAAAGCCUGACGGAGCAACGCCGCGUGAGUGAUGAAGGUCUUCGGAUCGUAAAACUCUGUUAUUAGGGAAGAACAAAUGUGUAAGUAACUAUGCACGUCUUGACGGUACCUAAUCAGAAAGCCACGGCUAACUACGUG